AAUCUUCGAUACCGCUUUAUAUUCACGAUCUUGUAUCCACUAACUGUCUUGUUAGAUUAAACCAAUAAAUUUCAUUCACUCCGCAUACUCAAUCCUAUAGACACCCUUUUAAUUCUUUAUCACAAACGUAACUCGAUUUCACAAAACAGUUAAGAGUAAUCAAACCCACUUCAUUAAAAAUCCCGAUUCACCAUUACAACAUUGACUUCAGCAACGAUUAUCUCAGUCUUUCCA
rnacentral:lncRNA from 1 species